ensembl:lncRNA
CGUCUUACAUGUCUAUUCUAUGCGUCGUUACCCUCUGUCGUUACUGUGUCGUCUUACAUGUCUAUUCUAUGCGUCGUUACCCUCUGUCGUUACUGUGUCGUCUUACAUGUCUAUUCUAUGCGUCGUUACCCUCUGUCGUUACUGUGUCAUCUUCCAUGUCUAUGCUAUGCGUCGUUACCCUCUGUCGUUACUGUGUCGUCUUCCAUGUCUAUUCUAUGCGUCGUUACCCUCUGUCGUUACUGUGUCGUCUUCCAUGUCUAUGCUAUGCGUCGUUACCCUCUGUCGUUACUGUGUCGUCUUCCAUGUCUAUGCUAUGCGUCGUUACCCUCUGUCGUUACUGUGUCGUCUUCCAUGUCUAUGCUAUGCGUCGUUACCCUCUGUCGUUACUGUGUCGUCUUCCAUGUCUAUGCUAUGCGUCGUUACCCUCUGUCGUUACUGUGUCGUCUUCCAUGUCUAUGCUAUGCGUCGUUACCCUCUGUCGUUACUGUGUCGUCUUCCAUGUCUAUGCUAUGCGUCGUUACCCUCUGUCGUUACUGUGUCGUCUUCCAUGUCUAUGCUAUGCGUCGUUACCCUCUGUCGUUACUGUGUCGUCUUCCAUGUCUAUGCUAUGCGUCGUUACCCUCUGUCGUUACUGUGUCGUCUUCCAUGUCUAUGCUAUGCGUCGUUACCCUCUGUCGUUACUGUGUCGUCUUCCAUGUCUAUGCUAUGCGUCGUUACCCUCUGUCGUUACUGUGUCGUCUUCCAUGUCUAUGCUAUGCGUCGUUACCCUCUGUCGUUACUGUGUCGUCUUCCAUGUCUAUGCUAUGCGUCGUUACCCUCUGUCGUUACUGUGUCGUCUUCCAUGUCUAUGCUAUGCGUCGUUACCCUCUGUCGUUACUGUGUCGUCUUCCAUGUCUAUGCUAUGCGUCGUUACCCUCUGUCGUUACUGUGUCGUCUUCCAUGUCUAUGCUAUGCGUCGUUACCCUCUGUCGUUACUGUGUCGUCUUCCAUGUCUAUGCUAUGCGUCGUUACCCUCUGUCGUUACUGUGUCGUCUUCCAUGUCUAUGCUAUGCGUCGUUACCCUCUGUCGUUACUGUGUCGUCUUCCAUGUCUAUGCUAUGCGUCGUUACCCUCUGUCGUUACUGUGUCGUCUUCCAUGUCUAUGCUAUGCGUCGUUACCCUCUGUCGUUACUGUGUCGUCUUCCAUGUCUAUGCUAUGCGUCGUUACCCUCUGUCGUUACUGUGUCGUCUUCCAUGUCUAUGCUAUGCGUCGUUACCCUCUGUCGUUACUGUGUCGUCUUCCAUGUCUAUGCUAUGCGUCGUUACCCUCUGUCGUUACUGUGUCGUCUUCCAUGUCUAUGCUAUGCGUCGUUACCCUCUGUCGUUACUGUGUCGUCUUCCAUGUCUAUGCUAUGCGUCGUUACCCUCUGUCGUUACUGUGUCGUCUUCCAUGUCUAUGCUAUGCGUCGUUACCCUCUGUCGUUACUGUGUCGUCUUCCAUGUCUAUGCUAUGCGUCGUUACCCUCUGUCGUUACUGUGUCGUCUUCCAUGUCUAUGCUAUGCGUCGUUACCCUCUGUCGUUACUGUGUCGUCUUCCAUGUCUAUGCUAUGCGUCGUUACCCUCUGUCGUUACUGUGUCGUCUUCCAUGUCUAUGCUAUGCGUCGUUACCCUCUGUCGUUACUGUGUCGUCUUCCAUGUCUAUGCUAUGCGUCGUUACCCUCUGUCGUUACUAUGUGUCGUCUUCCAUGUCUAUGCUAUGCGUCGUUGCUAUGCGUCGUUACCCUCUGUCGUCUUCCAUGUCUAUGCUAUGCGUCGUUGCUAUGCGUCGUUGCUAUGCGCCGUUUCCCUCUGUCGUUACUAUGUGUCAUCUUCCAUGUCUAUGCUAUGCGUCGUUGCUAUGCGUCGUUUCCCUCUGUCGUUACUAUGUGUCGUCUUCCUUGUCUAUGCUAUGCGUCUAUGCUAUGCGUCGUUACCCUCUGUCAUUGCUAUGUGUCGUCUUCCAUGUCUAUGCUAUGCAUCGUUACUAUGCAUCGUUUCCCUCUCUUUUGUAUAUUUUUUUGUAAAAUUUUUGUAAAAUUUUAUUUUUAUACUGUACACUUAACAGUAUUUUUUUUUUAUUUCUUACUGUCCUCUGUUUUUAUUCUUUAAGUGAGUGUUGUAGCCUAGCCUACUUUAUAGCAAAGAUUAAUCAGAGUCAAAUUCCUUGUUUGUUUACUCAAACCUGGCCAAUAAAGCUGAUUCUGAUGUCGUUUCUAUGUACUUA